rnacentral:rRNA from 1 species
UCGAACGGAGAAAGAGAGGUUCGCCUUUCUUUCUUAGUGGCGCACGGGUGAGUAAUGUAUAGCUAACCUGCCCCUUGGUGGGGGACAACAGUUGGAAACGACUGCUAAUACCCCAUACUCCUUCUUACUCUAAGGUAAGUCGGGAAAACUCCGGUGCCAAGGGAUGGGGCUGUAUCCUAUCAGCUUGUUGGUGAGGUAAUGGCUCACCAAGGCAAUGACGGGUAGCUGGUCUGAGAGGAUGAUCAGCCACACUGGAACUGAGACACGGUCCAGACUCCUACGGGAGGCAGCAGUGGGGAAUAUUGCACAAUGGGGGAAACCCUGAUGCAGCAACGCCGCGUGGAGGAUGACGCAUUUCGGUGUGUAAACUCCUUUUAUAAGGGAAGAUAAUGACGGUACCUUAUGAAUAAGCACCGGCUAACUCCGUGCC